rnacentral:rRNA from 1 species
UACGGGGGGGGGCAAGCGUUUGUUCGGAAUUACUGGGCGUAAAGGGCUCGUAGGUGGCCAACUAAGUCGGACGUGAAAUCCCUCAGCUUAACUGGGGAACUGCGUCCGAUACUGCCAUGGCUAGAGUCCGGUAGGGGACCACGGAAUUCCUGGUGUAGCGGUGAAAUGCGUAGAUAUCGGGAGGAACACCAGUGGCGAAGGCGAGUCUCUGGACAUUUCCUGACGCUGAGGCACGAAAGCCAGGGGAGCAAACGGG